rnacentral:rRNA from 1 species
GACGGGGGGGGCAAGUGUUCUUCGGAAUGACUGGGCGUAAAGGGCGCGUAGGCGGUUUGCACAGUCAGAUGUGAAAUUCCUGGGCUCAACCUGGGGGCUGCAUUUGAUACGUGUAGACUUGAGUGGGGAAGAGGGUCGUGGAAUUCCCAGUGUAGAGGUGAAAUUCGUAGAUAUUGGGAAGAACACCAGUGGCGAAGGCGACUCACUGGACGACUGUUGACGCUGAGGUGCGAAAGCGUGGGGAGCAAACAGG